rnacentral:rRNA from 1 species
UACGUAGGGUGCGAGCGUUAAUCGGAAUUACUGGGCGUAAAGCGUGCGCAGGCGGUUAUGUAAGACAGGUGUGAAAUCCCCGGGCUUAACCUGGGAACUGCAUUUGUGACCGCAUAGCUAGAGUACGGUAGAGGGGGAUGGAAUUCCGCGUGUAGCAGUGAAAUGCGUAGAUAUGCGGAGGAACACCGAUGGCGAAGGCAAUCCCCUGGACCUGUACUGACGCUCAUGCACGAAAGCGUGGGGAGCAAACAGG